UAUGCCUUGUGUGGUUUUGGUGUUCGGGGAUGCAAAAACAUCUUCGUUCAUCUUCGACGAUGGGCGUUUUCUACCACACGAUUCCACAGGAGAGUGCGCGAAAACGAAUGUGGUUCGAAGCACUCGGCUAUUAGAUACUGCAGUCCUGUCGUGCGUGCUGAGCUCAUUUUACUUCCGAUGACUACGAAGAUGCCGUGGAGGCGAAUUGCGAAGACGUCCGAAGCAAACUGCCGUUCAGUAACCAGUAAGUUUGCUUCAUCGAGGUGACGAGUUCAACACAACGUCUCAGUUAUGUACAGGGCUUUCCUGUGUUGAAGUGGCGCAAGACUGCUCCGUGUGUGUGUGUGUGAUCCAGGCACUCAAGUUGACAUGACAGAAAUAGCUGAAAGCAGAUGCAGAACAUUUGUGUGACGUCAACAGUAGGAGAAGAAACCGAUGAGGACUACUAGCUUCUUUGAAGGGUAGAGGAAUACUUCCUGUCGAGAUAUCAUUAUGACUAAGGAACGCUAAUGAAUUUUCUAGAGAUGCAUUUUCUACACUUGAAUGCCCGGUGAAACAGCAAAAGUUCAUUGUCUUUGAAGCCCCACUACUGGAAUUGUUCAAAGCGUGUUGCAGCUACAGUGAGCCAUGCAAAGUUACCACAUCAUAUUGGUCCUAAAUUUGCAGAGUUCCCAUA